rnacentral:rRNA from 1 species
GACGUAGGAGGCGAGCGUUAUCCGGAAUUACUGGGCGUAAAGGGCGAGUAGGCGGCCCGUUAAGUCUAUGGUGAAAUCUCCCGGCUCAACUGGGAGGGAGUCAUAGAAACUGGUGGGCUUGAGGGCAGCAGAGGGAGGUGGAAUUCCCGGUGUAGUGGUGAAAUGCGUAGAUACCGGGAGGAACACCAGUGGCGAAGGCGGCCUCCUGGGCUGCAUCUGACGCUGAGGCGCGAAAGCGUGGGGAGCAAACAGGAUUAGAUACCCGCGUA